GCGCGGGUGGCGGAAUGGUAGACGCGCACGUUUGAGGGGCGUGUGGGGCAACCCGUGGAGGUUCAAGUCCUCUCCCGCGCA
rnacentral:tRNA from 1 species